ensembl:lincRNA
AUGCCGUUGGUCUUCGAGAUUUUAACACUGGAGCAUAGAGGAGGUCAGUCUCUACUGACUGCUGAACAUCCAACACAUGACACCCAGGAGUUGUCUACCACCAUGUUUUGGACUAAGGGAAAAAAGCAGAAUUCAGAAAAAUGCAACAUCAUGGAAGUUCCAGGAUGUCUGAAACCAGAGCACUGUAGCCACAAACAUCAGAACACAAACACACUGUCCUCCAGGAUGGCCUGCUUGGCCAGCCUCCCCCACCAUACUACUGCAGCCUCACCAGCCAGGUAUGGGAACCCUUACAAAGAGGCCACAGGGACUGCCAACAAUCUCUUGAGGGACAGCCAUAAGAAGCAUCUAUCGUUAGGCAACCAGACUAUAUGGUCAGUCACUGUGAAUCUUUGGUAAAGUGAGUGGCCACUGCUAAAUAGUCUCCUCACUCACCCAAGGCAUUUUUCCCCAAACAUGUUCCUUAGAACACCAGUUACAUAAAAUACUCCAUUUAAAAAAAAACAAAAUUAAAAAAACCUGGUUUUUAUGUCCUCCCCUCUUGCAGAGUCACAAAUUAAAGCCUGUAAGAAGCUGUCAGAUGAAAAAAUCUGUUUCUCCGUGUUGAGAGUUGAAUUGUACUCCCCCCAAGUAGAUAUGUUCAAGUCCUAAGCCCUGCUACCUGUAAAUGUGACCUUAUUUGGAAAUAGAGUCUUUGCAGAUGUCAUCAAGUUAAAAUGAGAUCAUACUGGAGUAGGUUGUCUCUAAAUCCAAUGAGUAGUGUCUUUAUAAGUGGAGAAGAAAAAAGAUACAGACACACAGGGGGAAUAUCAUGGGAAGAAAGAGGCAGAGAUUGGAGUGAUGCAGCUCCAAGCCAAGGAAUGCCAAGGAUUCUGGCAGCCACCAGAAGCCAGGAGAAGGCAUGGAACACAUUCUCCCUCUGAGCCCCAAGAAGGAGCCAGCCCUGCUGACACUUUGAUUUUGGACUCCCAGCCUCCAGAACUGUAAGAGAAUACAUUUCUCUUGUUUUAAGCCACUUAGUUUAUUGUGCUUUGCUGUGGCAGCCCUAGGAAGCUAAUACACUCCUUUGUUAAUACAGCAGAUCCUUGAAUAACAUCAUUUUGUGCAAGAUCGUUUCAUGAUCACAUUGAUGAGUCCAGGCAUGGUGGCUCAUGCCCGUAAUUCCAACACUCUGGGAGGCCAAGGCAGGAGGAUUGCUUGAGCCCAGGAGUUUGAGACCAGCCUGAGCAACAUAGUGAGACCCCAUCCCUACAAAAAUAUUAAAAAUUAGCUGGGCAUGGUGGUGCACACCUGUGAUCCCAGCUACCCAUGAGGCUGAGAUGGGAGGAUCACUUGAGCCUGGGUGGUCGAGGCUGCAGUGAGCCAUGAUCACACCACUGCACUCCACCCUGGGCGAGACCUCAUCUCAAAAAAAAAAAAUACCGCUUGAGGCCAGGGCCACUGUCUGUGUGGGUUUCUUCCAGAUACCCUGGUUUCCUCCCACAUCCCAAAGCUGUGCAGGUGAGGUUCAUUUGCAAGCCUGCAGUCUGAGUGAGUGUCGGGGUGUGUGAGUGUGCCCUGCAAUGGGAUGGUGUCCUGUGUGCUGUCCAGAGCUGAUUCCUGCCUUGUGCCAGGAUAGGCUCCGGCCACCUGUAACCCUGAACUGGAAUAAGCGGGAGUACAUAUCUUGUUUUUAUUAAUCUUUCUUUUCUUUUCUUUGAGACAAAGUCUCACUCUGUGCAGGCUGGAGUGCAGUGCCACAGUCUCGGGUCACUACAGCCUUGACCCCCACCCCACUGGCUCAAGCAAUCUUCCAACUUCAGCCUCCUGAGUAGCUGGGACUACAGGCGUGCACCCCCAUGCCUGGCUAAGUUUUGUAUUUUUUUGUAGAGAUGGGGUUUCACCAUGUUGCCCAGGCUGGUCUCAAACUCCUGAGCUCAAGUGAUCUGCCCUCCUUGACCUCCCAAGGUGCUGAAAUUACAGGUAUGAGCCACCGUGCCCAGCCUAAUCUUUCUUAAAUGUAUGCAUAGCUUACACUUAUUUCAAUGUUUAAUAUUAGAAGUGUUUUGGUCUUUGUUUAGAAGUUCGUUGAUGUUUUGUGACCAGAAAUAUGCCAUAGAAACUUAACUCUUGUUUAUAUCAAUUAGCCUAUGGUAAAAUUGAUUACAUGACACAUCCUUUUGCUUAAAGUUGCAGUUUCCAAAAACCUAACAAUGAUAAAAAUGAGGACUUGCUAUAUAGCAUUUCCAAACUAAUUUAACCCUAAAAACCUUUUUUGUUAUAUAUCCAUUGACACUCAGGAAACACAAUUUGGGAAACUCUGGCUCAGGAAAAAGAGGUUAGAAGUCCAUCCGACUUACAAAGGGGAGCCAGAGAUGUUAGCAGGAGGAUUUUUAGGUUGCAUGGUCCCCAUUUCCCUACCCCUCACCCGUCUCUGGGUAGCUGGUUCUGAAUGGAUUGACAUUUACUUAGCAGAGAAUGCAAUCAAAAUUCUAGUUUCCCUUUCAUCCAGUUUUUUCACCACCAAGAAACUAUGCAGGAAAGGGCUAAAAUUAGGGGCAAAAGCCUAUGGCAACAGCAAGGCAUAGUUUAGAGGCAGGAUUAAUGACUCUCACAAUCUUCGUCAUCUCCCCAAAUAAAC